AGAGAAGAGAAUGGAGAGGCGGCAGAGAAGAUAAGGGGCGAGAGAGAGAGACAGAGAGAUCGAGAGUAAAGAAGAUAACAAAGUUUAGAUCAAUAAGAGGUGAAGAUAGAUGAUAACUUAAGGUGAUCGUCGUCGGAGCUUUUGAACCUUAGCCAAAAUCAUUCAACAGGGGAAAAACAAAAUGGGUAGUGAGGAUCAGAAUUUCUGGAUAACUGAUAUAGGUGGCCGGUUUAGGGACUUGUAUUGUUUUGGUUGUAAAGCUGGUACCAGUGGAGAAGCUUUCAUGAUACGUAAUGGCAGGCAUACUAGUAGUCACUUUAUGUUGGCAGUUUUUUAUUUAUACAUCUAUGGUUUAAAAAGUGUGGAGACAGUGGUGGUUUUAUUUGUUAAUUUAUCCCAUUUCAUUUUAAAAAGUAUGGAGAUAGCUUGUCAAUUUAAAAUUAUCGAAAUUGAACUUA